AUUGAACGCUGGCGGCAGGCCUAACACAUGCAAGUCGAGCGAGCGGCGGACGGGAGAGUAAUGUAUGGGGACUGCCCGAUAGAGGGGGAUAACUACUGGAAACGGUAGCUCAUACCGCAUACUAUCGGAUAACCCAUAUGGGAUUAGCUAGUAGGUGAGGUAAUGGCUCACCUAGGCGACGAUCCCUAGCUGGGUUGAGAGGAUGAUCAGCCACACUGGGACUGAGACAAGGCCCAGACUCCUACGGAGGCAGCAGGGGGGAAUAUUGCACAAUGGGCGCAAGCCUGAUACAGCCAUGCCGCGUGUAUGAAGAAGGCCUUAGGGUUGUAAAGUACUUUCAGUCGGGAGGCGUUACCGAGAGAAGAAGCACCGGCUAACUCCGUGCCAGCCGCCGCGGUAAUAC
rnacentral:rRNA from 1 species